CCUACGGGAGGCAGCAGUGGGGAAUAUUGGACAAUGGGGGGAACCCUGAUCCAGCGACGCCGCGUGAGUGAAGAAGUAUUUCGGUAUGUAAAGCUCUAUCGGCAGGGAAGAAAGAAAUGACGGUACCUGACUAAGAAGCCCCGGCUAACUACGUGCCAGCAGCCGCGGUAAUACGUAGGGGGCAAGCGUUAUCCGGAUUUACUGGGUGUAAAGGGAGCGUAGGCGGUCCGGAAAGUCAGCGGUAAAAGCCCGGGGCUCAACCCCGGCGAGCCGUUGAAACUGUCGG
rnacentral:rRNA from 1 species